CAGCGGAGAAACAGGAGUCUGCAGAAGAUGCCUGCAAAUCAGCCCAGGACUGCUAGGUCUGGCUUGAAAGGAAAAUAGGGGAUAACCAGACUGGGCACAGAUGCUAAGAAACCCUCUGGUUGGCAGGGUUCCCAGCCCCAGGGCACCCACGGCAGGGAGAGGGGUAGCUGGGGUUGGGCUUGCCUUUUCUCCUGCCCACUACCAUUUUGACCCUCCUCUGGGGAACUUAGGACAGGUGACCCACCUUCAAGGCAGCUCCCAGAGUUCCAUUUGAUGUCCUUAGGGGCUGACAGAUUGUCAGGGAAGAAGAGAGGAGCUUCUAGAAUGCAGCUCCUCAGUAAAGCAAGUCCCCCUCAGGCUCUGAGCACCCCCCCAACCCGCCCCCACCACACACACACAUACACACAUACCUUGCUGGGAUGGGAGAGGACCCUGUCCAAAGGCCUCCCACAGUGGGAGGAAGCUCAUCUGACACCACGCCAGAGAGCCGAAGUGUCUUUUCUUCCUCAAAGUGAGGACAGCGAACUUGCUGGGCCCUUCAAGUAUAAAUAAAGCAUUUGGGAUCCCCGCCCCACCCCUGACCUUUCUGCCCUGGGAGGCACAGGCUGAGCUUUGACCUUGGGUGCCUAGGCCUUCCUGUGUGAGUACACUCCUUUCUGCACGGGAUAAGAUUUUAUGCAAAUAAUUACUUAGUACUCCUCUGACCUUUUCUGUUUGUAAAACAAUGCAUAUUCAUUGUGAAAACUUGGGGAGGGCAAUCUGGAAGUGCAGAGAAAACCUACACCGUGCAGCUUGAGAUGUAAGAGCUCUCUGGACAGCCCUCUCAUCACUGGUCAGCAUUUCUAAAACCAAACUAGGAUCGUAGGUUAUUGUUCCUUAUUGUUAUUUUUUAAAGUCUCCUGGGAAGUGGCUUUUUUUUUUUUUUUUUUUUUUUUUCUGGCAUCUGAUCCAGAGUCCCGGAGAGGGAGGUGCAGGGCUGCUGCUGGGUGGGGAACCCUAGGGGCAGGUGGAGCCCUGGCUCCCUGUCCCUGAGAAGCUGUGUCCUCUCAGAACUGUGGCCUAGGCUUUGGACUUUCAGAGCUUGCCUCUGUGGUAUGAGGAGUGGGGAGAGACUGAUUCCAAGAGCCCUCCUGACCUCAAUGACAGCGACUUAAAUUUCCAUAUAUACUAAAGUCACCUCUGCUGAUUUUCUGUCCAUCUAGGUCAAGCGUAAUUAUUUGCAGUCCCUGUGCCUGUGACUCCCAUAGCCCUGGGAGGGGGCUGUCAUCCUAUCUGUGCCACAACCAGAGUUCAUAUGUCCUUUUGCCCUCCCCAUUACAGACCAUCUUACAAUUGGUCCUGGAAUCACACCUGUCCUGACGCCUGGACAUUGACCUGCCCAUCUCCCGGAACUGGCGUUAGGUGCUGUUGCCUCACGGCAGUUCUUCCCUGGCAACAACUGACCUGUGCUUAUUUUCUCUCCUCAGACCUUACACAUAGGAAGCUCACACCUGGCUCCGCCAAAUCCAGACAAGCAGUUUCUGAUCUCCCCUCCCGCCUCUCCGCCAGUGGGAUGGAAACAAGUGGAAGAUGCGACCCCAGUCAUAAACUAUGAUCUCUUAUAUGCCAUCUCCAAGCUGGGGCCAGGUGAGCAGGGCCCUCGGGUGGGAGGGAGGCAGGGGGAGACACAGCUGCUGCCCUGCACCGGGGAGCAGUACCGCCACUACCCCUGUAGCUCUCCUGAGCCCAUGCCGGCAUGUUUUGUGAGCUUCUCUGUAUUCUUCUGCGCCACCGUCCCUUGUGCUGGGAGCAUGCCUGCCUCUUGGCACCACCUGCAGUGUUAGAGAGACUGCGGCUGAUCGUGGGGACCCUGCAUCACGCCCCUCCACCCCCCGCAGUGUCCCAGGAAUCCAUUCCUGUGUCCACUGAGCACAGCCUGCGUGGGAGGCCUGAGCCCCGGCCCCAGGUUCUGUCGCUCCGGAUAGGGAUGAGUGAUUGGACUUUGGAAAGGGAAAAUCGAUGCCCCCUUUAAGAAAUGUUAUUUUUAAUCAAGAUAAAUUCGCCCUUUCCUGUGA
rnacentral:sRNA from 1 species